UAACACGUGGAUAACCUACCUAUAAGACUGGGAUAACUUCGGGAAACCGGAGCUAAUACCGGAUAAUAUCUUGAACCGCAUGGUUCAAAAGUGAAAGACGGUCUUGCUGUCACUUAUAGAUGGAUCCGCGCUGCAUUAGCUAGUUGGUAAGGUAACGGCUUACCAAGGCAACGAUGCAUAGCCGACCUGAGAGGGUGAUCGGCCACACUGGAACUGAGACACGGUCCAG
rnacentral:rRNA from 1 species